UCUAACUGAAGAUAAAAAAAAAAAAAACAACACCUGGGGAAACCAUUCAACAACUCAGAAACCAGAGACAAAUCAUGCUAAGGUAAAAUUGCAAGGAAAGGAAGUUGGCCUGUAUGAAGCUCUGAAAAAUGACAGUUGGCUCAAGGCAAAAGUCAUAAAGAUAAAAAAAAUCUGAGAGUCCUCUUAACAGCCAGGCAUAAAGAACUCCAGAAAAACACAGAACAAUACUGUCCUUUGUAUCUCCAAAAAAAGGAAAGGGAAUCCCUAAGGAGAGCAGGUCUUUCAUAGUUGUUCUUAGGACUGCAUACUUUCUACCAAAACCCCACAAAUGCCAGCAUCAACUCUGAACUGACAGCUUAAACAGCACCUAAGAUUCACCCCCAAAAUGGGAAAAAC
rnacentral:lncRNA from 1 species